rnacentral:rRNA from 1 species
AACGAACGCUGGCGGCGUGGAUAAGACAUGCAAGUCGAGCGAUCAUUGGCGGGUAGCAAUAUUUGCCAGUGGGAGCGGCGCAAGGGUGCGUAACACGUGGGUAAUCUGCCAUGAAGUCUGGGAUGAUCCCGCGAAAGCGGGACUAAUACCGGAUGUGACCAUUGGGAGGCAUCUUCUGGUGGUUGAAGUUGGGGACCGUAAGGCCUGACGCUUCAUGAUGAGCCCGCGGCCUAUCAGCUAGUUGGUGAGGUAACGGCUCACCAAGGCUAAGACGGGUAGCUGGUCUGAGAGGACGACCAGCCACACUGGAACUGAGACACGGUCCAGACACCUACGGGUGGCAGCAGUCGAGAAUUUUUCACAAUGGGCGAAAGCCUGAUGGAGCGACGCCGCGUGGGGGAUGAAUGGCUUCGGCCCGUAAACCCCUGUCAUUUGCGAUCAAACCUCAUUAUUUAAAAGAUGAUGAGUUGA